UACGUAGGGUGCGAGCGUUAAUCGGAAUUACUGGGCGUAAAGCGUGCGCAGGCGGUUCGUUAUGUCCGUUGUGAAAGCCCCGGGCUCAACCUGGGAAUGGCAAUGGAAACUGGCGGGCUAGAGUGUGGCAGAGGGGGGUGGAAUUCCGCGUGUAGCAGUGAAAUGCGUAGAGAUGUGGAGGAAUACCGAUGGCGAAGGCAGCCCCCUGGGAUAACACUGACGCUCAUGCACGAAAGCGUGGGGAGCAAACAGG
rnacentral:rRNA from 1 species